AUACGGAGGGUGCAAGCGUUACUCGGGAUCACUGGGCGUAAAGCGCGCGCAGGCGGCUAUUUAAGUUGGAUGUGAAAGCCUACGGCUCAACCGUAGAACUGCAUCCAAAACUAUUUAGCUAGAGUGUGGGAGAGGAAGAUGGAAUUAGUUGUGUAGGGGUAAAAUCCGUAGAGAUAACUAGGAAUACCAAAAGCGAAGGCAAUCUUCUGGAACACUACUGACGCUGAGGCGCGAAAGCGUGGGGAGCAAACGGGAUUAGAUACCCCAGUAGUCC
rnacentral:rRNA from 1 species